GGCGGAUGAGAGGGCAAAGCUGSGAAGAAAUGCUGAAGUAAUAAAGUGGCUGAAUAAUGUGACUAAAAGCAGCUAGUAGUUCUUGUAUUAAACAAACUUACGUGCUAACGUUGGCGCUGGUAUCUGGGCGCCUUCAACCACAUGUGCCAGCAGCACCUGAUCUCCAGGCAUGCGCAUCCUGUCAAGGUACCCUGUUCAUGAGAAAAAUAAUCUUCAAURAAUCUUUCUAUGGGGAGUACCAACGCAUCUUUACAUGUAACUGAGUGUGCUAAGAGGUAGGGACUUCAAGUUUAGACUUUAAUGAACCAAUGUCUAUGUAAUGUCUAAGUGAUUUGUUUUCUUCGCUAGCUUUCGUAUUAAUAAUAUUAUAGCCUUGUUUUUUUCUUCUUUUUUCUUCUUCUUUUUGUCCUUUUUUCUUUUUUGACCCUAAAUGAAAAUUACGACAGCUAACUAGAAAGCUUUAGCUCCUUUCGCUGUCGUACACUUACACCUAUUAUAUGUUAACUAUAGUAAAAAUUCUAAAUAUUAUUCAAGCUAUAUAUAUUCUUGUAAUUCUGUUAUAUAAAAUUGAAAACAAAUAGUGUAAAUAAACUGAAGUUGAAAUUGAAAUUGAAAUCAGUUAGAGUUAUAACAUUACCAAGAAGAGAAAUGCGGAAAUCCAUUUACCAUACUCAACCUUAGAAAUGCAAACUAAGUUAUAGCAUAACCGUAUGAGAUUUACAAAGAAGAGAAUCUCGUAGCUCGAUAUGAAAAUAUGAUGAUAAACUAGGCAUUUUUUCUGCAUACUUACAGUCAAAAGCUCGCUUGCUAUGUUGGCUUUCGUUGAUGGCUAUAAGGACGUUUCU